ACCGCAUGAUGUGGGCAAGAGCGCAACAAAUCUUUCAAUCUCUCCCAUGUCUCAUGAAACUGUUCACCAUCAUGCUGACUGAAUCUCGUGAUUGCUCUUCUAAUUUC